GCUCCCGUAGCUCAGGGGAUAGAGCACCGGUUUCCUAAACCGGGUGUCGGAGGUUCGAAUCCUCCCGGGAGCG
rnacentral:tRNA from 1 species